rnacentral:rRNA from 1 species
UACGAACUGUGCAAACGUUUAUUCGGAAUCACUGGGCUUAAAGGGUGCGUAGGCGGCUAUUUAAGUAGGGUGUGAAAGCCCCCGGCUCAACCGGGGAAUUGCGUCCUAAACUGGAUAGCUCGAGUGAGAUAGAGGUGUGCGGAACUUCCGGUGGAGCGGUGAAAUGUGUUGAUAUCGGAAGGGAACGCCGGUGGCGAAAGCGGCACACUGGGUCUCAACUGACGCUGAGGCACGAAAGCCAGGGGAGCGAACGGG